AUUGAACGCUGGCGGCAGGCCUAACACAUGCAAGUCGAGCGGAGCGGCGGACGGGUGAGUAAUACCUAGGAAUCUGCCUGAUAGUGGGGGAUACGUUCGGAAACGGACGCUAAACACGCAUACUAUCAGAUGAGCCUAGGUCGGAUUAGCUAGUUGGUGAGGUAAUGGCUCACCAAGGCUACGAUCCGGAACUGGUCUGAGAGGAUGAUCAGUCACACCGGAACGUAGACACGGUCCAGACUCCUACGUGAGGCAGCAGGGGGGAAUAUUGGACAAUGGGCGAAAGCCUGAUCCAGCCAUGCCGCGUGUGGGAAGAAGGUCUUCGGAUUGUAAAGCACUUUAAGUUGGGAGGCGUUACCGACAGAAUAAGCACCGGCUAACUCUGUGCCAGCAGCCGCGGUAAGAC
rnacentral:rRNA from 1 species